rnacentral:rRNA from 1 species
GUGGGGAAUAUUGGACAAUGGGCGAAAGCCUGAUCCAGCCAUGCCGCGUGUGUGAAGAAGGUCUUCGGAUUGUAAAGCACUUUAAGUUGGGAGGAAGGGUAGUAACCUAAUACGUUGCUACUUUGACGUUACCGACAGAAUAAGCACCGGCUAACUUCGUGCCAGCAGCCGCGGUAAUACGAAGGGUGCAAGCGUUAAUCGGAAUUACUGGGCGUAAAGCGCGCGUAGGUGGUUCAGUAAGUUGGAAGGGAAAUCCCCGGGCUCAACCUGGGAACUGCUUUCAAAACUGCUGAGCUAGAGUACGGUAGAGGGUGGUGGAAUUUCCUGUGUAGCGGUGAAAUGCGUAGAUAUAGGAAGGAACACCAGUGGCGAAGGCGACCACCUGGACUGAUACUGACACUGAGGUGCGAAAGCGUGGGGAGCAAACAGGAUUAGAUACCCCAGUAGUCC